AUGAGCCCCUGCCUCCUGGGCUGUGUGGUCUUCUGUCUCCUGCAGGCAGGGGCGGUCCAUGCAGGUGUCACUCAGGCCCCCAGAUUCCAGGUCAUGAGAACAGGACAGAACGCGACACUGAAAUGUACUCAGGAUCUGGGGCAUGACUGCAUGUGCUGGGACCAACAAGACCUGGGACACGGGCUGAGGCUGAUCCACCACUCAGCUGGGCCUCCCACCACUGAGAAAGGAGACGUGCCUGACGGGUACAGAGUCUCCAGAUCAAGCAAAGAGAACUUCCCUCUCACGCUGGAGUCUGCCAGCCACUCCCAGACAUCCGUGUACUUCUGUGCCAACAGUUACUCCACAGCGCUGCACGGCCACUUCCUCUCUGUGCAAAAAGACGGAUGA